CAACACUCUAACCACUAGGCUACCCUGCCGCCCCAAAUAUGCUGGACCCUAUGUCAGAUCGAUGUUUCUGGGACCACACUGUUUCUUUCAAGACAAUAACCCAAAACACACUGCAGCCUGGGUUUAUAUUGCAAAUGAGGGCAUAAACUGGGUCAAGAUGCCAGCAGAAGGGACCAAAACAGAAUGAUAACAGUGUAACUGAGAGCGGCUGUUUGGUGACAAUUAAAUGCACCAUACAAGAAUUUGGGUAUUAUUGCAAAGGAAGAUACAUUUGGGUCAUUUUCUGUGAUCAAAGUAACUUAAUUGCCGCCUGUGGAAACAGAUGUCUCUACACCUUUCAUUAUGCAAGGCUAGGCUGCAAGAUCCAACGCUCAUACUCUGCAGGAGAUUGGAACAGAAUGUCCAUUUCAAUGCACAACAAGACAGGGUGAUUCUAAACACUGGAGAAAAAAGUGAUUUUCCUGGGACACAAAAAAAUACACUUAAUUUCAACUUGGUCAACAACAAUUGGAACAGGAACUUGAUAGGAAAUUGCUUUAAUGUUGUUGACAAAAUGUGCUACUAAAUAUAUGUACUGUGGGAUAUGGUGGUGUGUUGCUUUGAUCAGCAUUGCAAUGAGCCUUCUUUGAAUAAUCACGCUGAGAGCUUUGAACAGGAGAACAUUAUUUACAUAUACAUUAGAAAAUAAAAUCAUCUGAAGAAUCUGACUCAGAUUGAAUAGGGAAAUAAUUAUCUUGUUUGCAUUGGCGUAUGCAUUUGGAAGAUAUCAUCAGCAUCACAUAGACCUUAUUUGUUGUCCCUAAAAUGCACAGUACUGUACAUCACUCCAUCUUUAAUAGUAUGGGUCAAACAACAAACAAGGCUCAGAUGCAACACUUUGUAGUAUUCUCUCUGUUCAAGAUAAAUCAUGAAUUAAUCAACCACAAGCAAUUACAUACACAACAUACACUGUAAUAUAUAGUGAAUAUAUCAUGCAGUGCAUUUGAUGAUCAUCUAACGUAGGCUCAGUAGAGAAAUGACCUGAGUUGAAAUCCUUUAAAAUACUUUAUCUGUGCUUGAUUGAGCUUGUCUGGGUCAAUUGACCAAUAGAACAGUCCUGAAACUGCAAGCUCCGCCCAUCUGAUACUCCAGGUAGACUAGAGCAAAUGCUCAAAAUAUUUGAAAGAUUUCAAAUAGAAUUUGAAACCAGGUCUGCUAGAGAAUCCAGUACAUCAUGUCAUAAAUGUUUAUCAGUGGAUCUUAAUAGGAUGUGUUAGCCAUCC
rnacentral:lncRNA from 1 species